rnacentral:rRNA from 1 species
UACGUAGGGGGCAAGCGUUGUCCGGAUUUAUUGGGCGUAAAGAGCGUGUAGGCGGCCGUACAGGUCAGCUGUGAAAACUCGAGGCUCAACCUCGAGACGUCGGUUGAAACCGUACGGCUAGAGUCCGGAAGAGGAGAGUGGAAUUCCCGGUGUAGCGGUGAAAUGCGCAGAUAUCGGGAAGAACACCCGUGGCGAAGGCGGCUUCCUGGCCUGUAACUGACGCUGAGACGCGAAAGCGUGGGGAGCGAACCGG